rnacentral:rRNA from 1 species
AAUCUUGCGCAAUGGGCGAAAUCCUUACGCAGCAACGCCGCGCGGGGGAUGAAGGCCUUCGGGUUGUAAACCCCUUUCAGCAGGGACGAAAUUGACGGUACCUGCAGAAGAAGCACCGCCCAACAACGUGCCAGCAGCCGCGGUAACACGUAGGGGGCGAGCGUUGUCCGGAAUUAUUGGGCGUAAAGGGUGCGUAGGCGGCCUUUUAAGUCAGAUGUGAAAGCCCACGGCUUAACCGUGGGACUGCAUUUGAAACUGGAGGGCUUGAGUAUCGGAGAGGGUAGUGGAAUUCCCAGUGUAGCGGUGGAAUGCGUAGAUAUUGGGAGGAACACCAGUGGCGAAGGCGACUACCUGGACGAAAACUGACGCUGAGGCACGAAAGCUAGGGGAGCAAAC